CCUGCCGCUUGAGGCGUUGCAGUCUGACUGAAAGUGUCAAGCCUGUGUCAUGAGUGGCAGAGAGUGGCAGGGCUGUGUUUACGCCAAGGACCCAGAACAGUGGGUACUUGGAGUGUUUAUGGCUCCGACAAA
ensembl:snoRNA small nucleolar RNA SNORA17